rnacentral:rRNA from 1 species
UACGUAGGGUGCGAGCGUUAAUCGGAAUUACUGGGCGUAAAGCGUACGCAGGCGGCUGCGCAAGACAGGUGUGAAAUCCCCGGGCCCAACCUGGGAACUGCACUUGUGACUGCGUGGCUAGAGUCCGUAAGAGGGGGGUGGAAUUCCACGUGUAGCAGUGAAAUGCGUAGAGAUGUGGAGGAACACCGAUGGCGAAGGCAGCCCCCUGGGAUGAGACUGACGCUCAUGUACGAAAGCGUGGGGAGCAAACAGG